rnacentral:rRNA from 1 species
ACGGCGAGUGAGCGGCACAGCUCAAUUUGAAAUCUGGCCCCCCGGGCCCGAGUUGUAAUUUGAAGAGGAUGCUUUUGGUGAGGUGCCUUCCGAGUUCCCUGGAACGGGACGCCAUAGAGGGUGAGAGCCCCGUCUGGUCGGAUACCGAGCCUCUGUAAAGCUCCUUCGACGAGUCGAGUAGUUUGGGAAUGCUGCUCUAAAUGGGAGGUAUAUGUCUUCUAAAGCUAAAUACCGGCCAGAGACCGAUAGCGCACAAGUAGAGUGAUCGAAAGAUGAAAAGCACUUUGAAAAGAGGGUUAAACAGUACGUGAAAUUGUUAAAAGGGAAGCGCUUACGACCAGACUUGGUCCCGGUGAAUCACCUGGCGUUCUCGCCAGUGCACUUCACCGGGCUCCAGGCCAGCAUCAGUUCGUGCCGGGGGAAAAAGGCAGGGGGAAUGUAGCUCCUUCGGGCGUGUUAUAGCCCCCUGUGGAAUACCCUGGCGCGGACUGAGGUUCGCGCAUCUAGCAAGGAUGCUGGCGUAAUGGUCGUCGGCGACCCGUCUUG